UCUUGGUCAGAGCGUUGACAGGCCACUGCCGACUCAGCUAUUACAUGGCAAAUAUUCAGCGUGUUGGCUCAAGACAUGGGAGAUGGAGUUUUUAAAACUCGUUAAUGUUUAAUUGACGGCUUUUGCGUUUUCAUUGUUGUCUUACUAAAGUUUGAGUGGAACCAUUUUGAAUCGACAAGCUCGAUUUGCCGCUUCUCCUUCCUUACCGCAAUGCCUAUUCAUUCUGUUUGGACCUUAAUCGUGGUGCGUCUUCCUAUGCGUAAACUUGUGGGAAGAAAUUCGGCUCAACAGGAAUUCUACCACCAAUGGGGACAAUCGACCGAUAAAGAGGGAACAACAUCAAAAGAUAAGCGGAUGUUCGUUAUCAACUACCGAAAAAUAGACAGUCAAUCGACUCGGGUUGAAUGCAUCAACAAUGAUUGAUGGGGCACAUUCGUAAUCGGCCGUUAUAAAAGUACAAUUUGGACCAACAUCAUCUUUUAGUAGCGAUAAGAGAUCCGAUCGGGCAGCAAAGUGUGUGACGAAACGAAAAUGAAAAACGUUUGGCUUUUGGCAUGCCUGCUGGUGAUAGCCUACAGCUCUAGAGGCUGGGCUCAAUUAGAUACUCCUUGUUUCGGAACGGUCGGGAUGUCGCAGGUUCCGGAUCCGGAAAAUUGCCAGGCAUUUUAUAUUUGCAUCGACGGAGUUGGUUUCCCUCAGCAGUGCGGUCCCGGACUGAUCUUCGACGUCAUAACGAACAACUGUAAUCGGGAGGAGAUUUCCGUGUGUAUUGAUGAGGUUGCUACUCCUCCAACGCCAUCAGGAUAGUGAGAUUGAAGUGAAGUAGUAGAGGAAGGUUCUGGUUAAACGUGAAACUCUCAGAGGCGGCGAAUAAAUGAAUUUCUGUACAUAUGUUUUGUUAUCUUCAGUCAACAUUAUUAAACACAUAAAAUUUUAUAGGAACUCA